rnacentral:rRNA from 1 species
CUCGGUGACCAUAUCGGAAAGGCCACACCCGUUCCCAUCCCGAACACGGUAGUUAAGCUUUUCGAGCCGAUGAUAGUGCCAAAAGUGCGAAAGUAGGUAUUGCCGAGU